UAAAGUCGAAUUUAUCAGAAAGGUUUUAUCUUACAGAUAAAAAGCCUAAACUGGGCCUGGGCUUUUU
rnacentral:tRNA from 1 species